rnacentral:misc_RNA from 1 species
AACGCAAAUGGCGCCCUUUGGUAUUCCGAAGGGCAUGCCUGUUUGAGUGUCAUGAAAAUUUCAAGCCUUCUAGUUUCGUCAUUGAGAUUAGGACGGAUCUUGGUCUUGAGUGUAUGUGUUUCAUUCCUCUGGGACGGAAUUCUCACUCGAAAAAGAUUGGCAGAUACUUUCGAGUGUCUCGGCGUAAUAGUAAUCUACAUCGUCUUGCGCAAGGAAUGUCUAUCGCUUAUGAACCCGUCUUCGGACAACUUAUCAUUUUCGACCUCAGAUCAGGUAGGAGUACCCGCUGAACUUAA